GAUGAAGAACGUAGCGAAAUGCGAUAAGUAGUGUGAAUUGCAGAAUUCAGUGAAUCAUCGAAUCUUUGAACGCACAUUGCGCCUCCUGGUAUUCCGGGAGGCAUGCCUGUUCGAGCGUCAUCAAAAACCUCAACCCAUGAUUUAUUGUGAGUUGGUUCUGCAUUGGACUCCUUGUGGGUCCUUUGCGAAAUCCAAUGGCGAAGAGCCACGCAACCAAAGCGUAGUAUAACUAUUUCGUUAUGGAAGCGUGGGUGCCGCUGCCGUAACCCCCAAUUUCUUAGUUUUUGACCUCGGAUCAGGUAGGGAUACCCGCUGAACUUAAGCAUAUCAAUAAGCGGAGGA
rnacentral:misc_RNA from 1 species